AUUGAACGCUGGCGGAAUGCUUUACACAUGCAAGUCGAGCGGCAGCGCGGGGGCAACCCUGGCGGCGAGCGGCGAACGGGUGAGUAAUACAUCGGAACGUGUCCUUGAGUGGGGGAUAGCUCGGCGAAAGCCGGAUUAAUACCGCAUAAGCUCUGAGGAGGAAAGCGGGGGAUUCGCAAGGACCUCGCGCUGUUGGAGCGGCCGAUGUCGGGUUAGCUAGUUGGUGGGGUAAAGGCCCACCAAGGCGACGAUCCGUAGCUGGUCUGAGAGGAUGAUCAGCCACACUGGAACUGAGACACGGUCCAGACUCCUACGGGAGGCAGCAGUGGGGAAUUUUGGACAAUGGGGGCAACCCUGAUCCAGCCAUUCCGCGUGAGUGAAGAAGGCCU
rnacentral:rRNA from 1 species